rnacentral:rRNA from 1 species
GACGAACGCUGGCGGCGUGCUUAACACAUGCCAGUCGAACGAGUGGCGAACGGGUGAGUAACGCGUAGGUAACUACCUAUUAGAGGGGGAUAACUCUUGUAAACGCUAGCUAAUACCGCCUACUCGUAGAUGUACCUGCGUUUUAUUAGCUAGUAGGUAGGGUAAUGGCCUACCUAGGCAACGAUACAUAGCCGACCUGAGAGGGGGAGGGGCCACACGGGGACUGAGAAACGGCCCAGAAGCCGACGGGAGGCAGCAGUAGGGAAUCGUCGGCAAUGGGGGGAACACUGAACGAGCAACGCCGCGUGAGUGAAGAAGGUUUUCGGAUCGUAAAGCUCGGUUGUUAAGGAAGCGGUACUUAACCAGAAAGGGACGGCUAACUACGUGCCAGCAGCCGCGGUAAUAC